GACGAACGCUGGCGGCGUGCCUAAUACAUGCAAGUAGGACGCAGUUGCGAACGGGUGAGUAACGCGUAGGUAACUACCUGUUAGAGGGGGAUAACUAUUGGAAACGAUAGCUAAUACCGCAUACUAGUAGAUGGACCUGCGUUGUAUUCGCUAGUAGGUAGGGUAAUGGCCUACCUAGGCAACGAUACAUAGCCGACCGUAGAAGGAGGUCGGCCACACUGGGACUGGGACACGGCCCAGACUCCGUCAGGAGGCAGCAGUAGGGAGUCAUCGGCAAUGGGGGGAACCCUGACCGAGCAACGCCGCGUGAGUGAAGAAGGUUUUCGGAUCGGAAAGCUCUGUUGUUAAGGAAGCGGUACUUAACGAGAAAGGGACGGCUAACUACGUGCCAGCAGCCGCGGUAAUAC
rnacentral:rRNA from 1 species